UCUUACGUUGCACAUUCAGGUCAUGAAAGAGUCCGUAUUGCGGAUGGGUCCUUGUCUCCCAUCAUCGGGAAUCUUACGUUGCACAUUCAGGAAUUGAGCACCGGGAAAACGAUUGGCUAUGGUAGAGUACACAAUGGCUUGUACCAGUUACAUGAAGGACCAAUUUCUAAGGCUUUACUAGGUGAAUCUGAAUCAGCUCCUCAUCAAAUUAUUCAAUGGCAUAGGCGUCUAGGACACCCUUCA